rnacentral:rRNA from 1 species
GAUGAACGCUGGCGGCGUGCCUAACACAUGCAAGUCGAACGGAGUCGUUUUGGAAAUCUCUUCGGAGAUGGAAUUCUCGACUUAGUGGCGGACGGGUGAGUAACGCGUGAGCAAUCUGCCUUUAAGAGGGGGAUAACAGUCGGAAACGGCUGCUAAUACCGCAUAAAGCAUUAAAUUCGCAUGUUUUUGAUGCCAAAGGAGCAAUCCGCUUUUAGAUGAGCUCGCGUCUGAUUAGCUAGUUGGCGGGGUAACGGCCCACCAAGGCGACGAUCAGUAGCCGGACUGAGAGGUUGAACGGCCACAUGGGGACUGAGACACGGCCCAGACUCCUACGGGAGGCAGCAGUGGGGAAUAGUGCGCAAUGGGGGAAACCCUGACGCAGCAACGCCGCGUGAUAGAAGAAGGCCUUCGGGUUGUAAAGAUCUUUAAUCAGGGACGAAACAAAUGACGGUACCUGAAGAAUAAGCUCCGGCUAACUACGUG